UACGUAGGGUGCGAGCGUUAAUCGGAAUUACUGGGCGUAAAGCGUGCGCAGGCGGCUUGCCAAGUCAGAUGUGAAAGCCCCGGGCUUAACCUGGGAACUGCGUUUGAAACUACAAGGCUAGAGUGUGGCAGAGGGGGGUGGAAUUCCACGUGUAGCAGUGAAAUGCGUAGAGAUGUGGAGGAACACCGAUGGCGAAGGCAGUCCCCUGGGCCUGUACUGACGCUCAUGCACGAAAGCGUGGGGAGCAAACAGG
rnacentral:rRNA from 1 species